UACGUAGGGGGCAAGCGUUGUCCGGAUUUAUUGGGCGUAAAGAGCGUGUAGGCGGCCAUGUAGGUCCGUUGUGAAAACUCGAGGCUCAACCUCGAGACGCCGAUGGAAACCAUGUGGCUAGAGUCCGGAAGAGGAGAGUGGAAUUCCUGGUGUAGCGGUGAAAUGCGCAGAUAUCAGGAGGAACACCAAUAGCGAAGGCAGCUCGCUGGGACGUUACUGACACUGAGGCGCGAAAGCGUGGGGAGCGAACAGG
rnacentral:rRNA from 1 species